GACGAACGCUGGCGGCGUGCCUAAUACAUGCAAGUCGAACGCAGUGGGGACGGGUGAUUAACACGUUGGUAACCUCCCAUCAGAGGGGAUAACGCUUGGAAACAGGUGCUAAACCGAUACUGAUGGAUGGACCCGCGGUGCAUUAGCUAGUUGGUGAGGUAACGGCUCACAAAGGCCACGAUGCAUAGCCGAGCUGAGAGGGUGAUCGGACAGCCUGGGACUGCGACACGGUCCAGACUCCUACGGGAGGCAGGAGUAGGGAAUCGUCGGCAAUGGACGAAAGUCUGACCGAGCAACGCCGCGUGAGUGAAGAAGGGUUGCGGAUCGUAAAACUCUGGUGUUAGAGAAGCGGUAUCUACCCAGAAAGCCCUGGCUAACCACGUGCCAGCCGCCGCGGUAAUAC
rnacentral:rRNA from 1 species